UACGUAGGGUGCGAGCGUUGUCCGGAAUUAUUGGGCGUAAAGAGCUCGUAGGCGGUGUGUCACGUCGGCCGUGAAAACCUGCAGCUUAACUGUGGGCGUGCGGUCGAUACGGGCAUCACUGGAGUUCGGCAGGGGAGACUGGAAUUCCUGGUGUAGCGGUGAAAUGCGCAGAUAUCAGGAAGAACACCGGUGGCGAAGGCGGCUCUCUGGGCCUUACCUGACGCUGAGGAGCGAAAGCGUGGGUAGCGAACAGG
rnacentral:rRNA from 1 species